GACGAACGCUGGCGGCGUGGAUUAGGCAUGCAAGUCGAACGGUAUCAUCCUUUCGGGGGUGAGAGAGUGGCGAACUGGUGAGUAACACGUAGGUUAUCUACCCUCAAGACGGGGACAACCCAGGGAAACUUGGGCUAAUACCGGAUGUGAGCAACUUUUAGUUGUUUGAAAGGUGGCGUAAGCUGUCGCUUGGGGAUGAGCCUGCGUCCUAUUAGUUAGUUGGUGAGGUAACGGCUCACCUAGGCAAUGAUAGGUAGGCGGCCUUAACGGGUGGUCGCCCACACUGGGAUUGAGAUACGGCCCAGACUCCUACGGGAGGCAGCAGUCGAGAAUAGUCUACAAUGGUCGGAAGACUGAUAGUGCGACGCCGCGUGAACGAUGAAUCCCUUCGGGGUGUAAAGUUCUUUUAUAUGUGAGCAGUGCUUCUUAUAUUAACAGUAUGGGGAGAGAGAUAUUAGCAUAUAGAAUAAGACAACGGCUAACUCCGUGCCAGCAGCCGACGGU
rnacentral:rRNA from 1 species